UCUUCCGCGGUGCCUCUGGGUGGGUUCGAACUGCCCACCUUUUGGCUAGUAGUUGAGCCCUUAAUGGUUUGUGCUACCCAGGGAUGUUUUUGGUUUAGGGUUGUCUUUGGAUACGUAUGAUAAUGCUGUCACUGGUGAGCUCCAUCAUAUAUUCAUGAUUCUGGAAAAUACUCUUAAGCUGAUUCUUUUGAAAAUGAGAGGGCUCGGCCUAAUCUUGAGCUCUAUCCAGAGCUGCAGUGGCUGGAGGUUCCACCAUAAUGUUUGCAGCUGGCCUUUGCAGGAAGAAUAAGUGGACGCCUUGGCGGCAAGGUUGUUCUUUGGACCCAUGCAGACAUUUUCAAGAGACAAAGCAAGAAUGGAAAUACAAACUGAAAGACUGGGAUUGGGCGUUGACUUGCUCUGAGGAAGUGGCGGAGAGACCUUACGAGGCUCCCGUUCGUCUGAGGUCAGAGCAAGGCUGGGAUCCUGUCCUUGGUUCCAGCCCUCACCUCUUGGCGUGGUCCCGAGGGGGUGGUGGCUCCUUGGUCCCCUCAGCCUUGGCAUCUCCCUGAGUCACCUCGUGUUCCUGCUGGGUCUGCUGGCCACGGGGCACGCGGCCCAGCACCGGGACACAGGCGA